UACGUAGGGUGCGAGCGUUGUCCGGAAUUAUUGGGCGUAAAGGGCUCGUAGGCGGUCUGUCGCGUCGAAAGUGAAAACCCAGGGCUUAACCCUGGGCCUGCUUCCGAUACGGGCAGACUAGAGGUAUGUAGGGGAGAACGGAAUUCCUGGUGUAGCGGUGAAAUGCGCAGAUAUCAGGAGGAACACCGGUGGCGAAGGCGGUUCUCUGGGCAUUACCUGACGCUGAGGAGCGAAAGUGUGGGGAGCGAACAGG
rnacentral:rRNA from 1 species